rnacentral:rRNA from 1 species
AUGGUGACAGUGAGAGAAGAGACACGCAAAGGGCCAUGGACAGAGCAGGAGGACAUGCAACUGGUAUGCACUGUCCGUUUGUUCGGUGAACGCCGUUGGGAUUUCAUUGCCAAAGUAUCAGGCCUCAACCGCACAGGAAAGAGCUGUCGCCUCCGGUGGGUUAACUACCUCCACCCUGGCCUAAAGCGUGGGCGCAUGACUCCCCAUGAAGAACGCCUCAUCCUCGAGCUCCAUGCUCGGUGGGGAAACAGGUGGUCCAGGAUAGCACGGAAGCUGCCAGGGCGUACCGACAAUGAGAUCAAGAACUACUGGAGAACACAUAUGAGGAAGAAAGCACAGGAGAGGAAGAGGAGCGUGUCACCCUCACCAUCUUCAUCCUCAGUGACAUACCAAUCCAUUCAGCCACAGACGCCAUCGAUCAUGGGAAUUGGCGAGCAGGAACUUCAUGGUGGCAGUAGCUGCAUCACAAGCAUAUUGAAGGGCACGCCUGCUGACAUGGAUGGAUACCUCAUGGAUCAGAUAUGGAUGGAGAUUGAGGCACCCUCUGGGGUCAACUUUCAUGACGGGAAGGAUAAUUCAUACAGCAGCCCCUCUGGCCCUCUGCUGCCAUCACCGAUGUGGGAUUACUACAGCCCUGAGGCAGGCUGGAAGAUGGAUGAGAUAAAGAUGGCCCCACAAGUUAGCUACAGUAAAGGAAUUGGCCCCAGUUAUUGA